UUUGUCCUGAAAUAAUGAAGAGAUUUUCAAUGAGUCCCUUGGCCAAGCCGUCUCUAUUGUACAUUGCAUUGAUAAAAAGGAUGUUAUUGACUAUGCAACAGUAGGCUCCUUUCCUCCCUCUCCUUCUUUCCAAAUAAACUCUCGGUCCUGUCUCUUGGUCAGUGAAAAGGUGAAACGAAUAAGAUUAAAUCAGACAAAAAAGCGAGCUCCGUAUGUAUAUCAUCCAGAUUUUACUCCCCAGACUGUGAAGAGACAGGGAGUAAAAGAGGCAGAGCAAGACACACAGAGAGAGGGAGAGGGAGACGCAGAGAGAGAGAGAGAGACAGACAGAGGCACAGACAGGAGACAGCCUGGGAGAAGCUGGACCGACCGAGCCGCCGCCGAGGUCUCCGCGCAGCGCGCACGGCCGCCGCUGGGCCGGCCCGGCCGAGCCCACCCCAGCACUACAGGCAACGCUGUACUGCAGCAUCACACCCUGCUUUGGAAUGCUGUUCCCUCAAGACUUCCAUGGCACAGAGCGACGGAUUAUUACAUGGAUCUCAAGACCAACAUGCCUUAAAACUGACAAAGGGAAGCAGUCUGCAGCCUCCAGCACCUCCCAUCUCACCCAGUCUGCAACACCAGUAACAGGCACAAAGGGCUGUCAGACUCAGCUGAAAAGCAUCUAGACCUUCAUCCACAGGAAGUCUGCUUGCCUGUCAAAACGAUGUGGAAAUGUGCCGGCAUUCCAGCUGAAGACAUCAUUAUGAGUGAGAAAAUGCUCAAGGCUUUUUCAAAGUGGGUGCUGAAACAUACAUUUCUCUUCUCUGACUCCAGGGGAUGCUACCAGCUGCCCCAGUGGACAGGUAUCGUGAGGUCAAAGGCUAGCGGUGCCCUGCACCUUUACGAUUUGACUGUGAGCAAAGUAGAUAGGUAGUUUCUCAAAACUAAUAAUAAAAAUAGCAACAAUGAUGAGAAGAAGAAGAAGCUGACAACAAAAAUGAAAAGGAACCUGCAAGAAGUGAAUUCUGGGUAGCACAACACUUGGCAGAGCUGAUUUUAAUAUCUGACAGGUUGAGUUCACUAAUCUUUGCUAUUCACAUUGACGUGAAACUUCAUACGGUUUUAGAGAUUUGUAUCUAUUAAGACAUGCAGCAGUGUUCCUACAACAUGAGAACAAGUUUGUUAGCGCCUACCAUUCUUCUUCAGUGAUAAAAAUUGAUAUGAACUGUUUUAAAUGCCUGGCAGAUAAUUACUCUGAACACUCAAUAAGGAAAGCUACACCUUUAGAGCCUGCUUUAUCUUUAAAAAAAAGAAACCCAAAACACCAACAAGAAAAAACAACAUUCUUCUCCUCCUCUGCCCCCCACUCCCCUCCCCUUUGGUUCUUUGAUUACUUGGAGCCUUGUAAUCAAACUAAGCUUAGUUUCAGGACCCUUGGGGCAGUAUCUCUUAGUUCCCUGUCAGGCUGCGUUGCAAAACAAUCAAUCUUGCUCUUGCACUCACUUGGCGGAAGUGCCACGACACGAAGAGUGCAAUGCUUUGCUCUUGCUGUGAAGCUUCGAUGACAAAAGUUUUUAUCAGAAGCCGACUGUAUUUAGGGUUAUGAAUAUGCAAUGACUCUCAUUAGUAUUGAAGCACAGGAGCAUGGGCUGACAUCCCCCGCCACUUUUAGCUGCUGCAAAAUCGUCUAAUGAAUUGUCUUGCUCUUUCACUCACACAGGCUUUUCUGUUAUGGCUCCCAGUUCCAAGGGGAGUUGCCCAGUUUGAGAAUACUAUUGACUGCAGAAAUUAAUUGCCAAGAACUGCUCUUGAUUUUGUUAAACAAUGUUGAGACAGUGUUUAAAUUGUCAAAACAGAAAACCAUUAAACUCUACAGGAGAUGAAAUCAUCACGAGUGAAAAGAACCUGUAUGUCUAUAUACCACGCGUAACAAUUCACAGGCACAUAGGGGUACUGUAGAUAUGCAUAUAGCCUUCUAAUCAUACAUACACAUAUGGACAAAUAUACAUGUACAUAUCAGUGAAAUCAGGUCUCAGAAAUCUGACUUUCUGUUGAUUUAUCUAUUAUUCUUCCAACUAGAACAAACAGGGACAACAGAAAGUUCUCCAAAUGAACAGGACUCCAGUACAAUGCUAUUUGAUCAACCCUUUAAUAUUCUUUCUUUUUCCUCUGGGACCCUGCCAAACAUUUUGCAGUUCACACAUCUGCAAUCUUUCAUGAAUAAGUUACUGAUGAGGAUGUUUCCAACAAAUGAUUAAGGUAUCUGGCUUGAUUUGUAGUACUUGAGGAGAUGUGAAAGCAUUCAGAAAGAAGUGGAAAUGACCCUUUUUCCCAAAUGGUUAAAUUAAGUAUUUUUUUUCUAUUCACCUGAAAUUUCUUCUGACAUAAAAGGAGCUUUUGUGACUCUCUGCAGAUUGUGAAGGAUAGAGUGAAUUGAAAUGGAUAAUAUAUUCUAAGAGGCAUAAGUAGCAUUCUGAAAGGUGUGCACAUACUGCAAAUAAUAAAGAAUAUGAGGUCUUCCCACGAAGAUGUCAGCCCCACACAAUUCUUAAUCCAUUUAAUCAGUAAUGGAAAUGGUCCCAGUGCAAGGAGGAGGAUCUGUUUAAUUUUGACUGCGAUUUUUGGCACUGUUACUCUAAUGUGAGCUUAGCUUACCUCUUGACCCAACCCCAGGAGUGCUUGUUCUCAUCAGCUGGAGAAAAAAAUAAACACAAAGAACAUCUACAUGUUGGGAGUACCAAAUACAAGUGCAGCUUAAAGUAAAUGCAGUUCUGACAAAAGUGGCUCAAGUAUCAUAUAUCAAACACUUGUUACCUCUCUUGGCCUUAGUGAUUGCACGUGACUAAGAAAGAGUGAGUGAUAAAAUCUGAAGAAAGAUGAAACCAAUCUGGACCUUUUUAAAGACCAUCAAUCAUUCUGCGCAGCCAUGAUAUUAUUAGUUCCAGUAAGCCUUGUUCUCCCAUUUUAUGGACAUCAUAAACCCCCCACCCCUAGACCAAUGCUACCAUGGGAAAUCAUUUUUAUGGGCAGCAUCUUAGUGUGGACCAAUCAGAUCUAAUCACAUAACAAGCUACUGAAUUAUUCAACGUUCUCCCCAAUUUUGCAUUCUUCCUGCACUUUGCUGUCACUGCAGGGUUUUAAAAGUCUGUGUUUUUACAAUAUUUAUUAAGAAGAUAACCACACACAGGAAUUUUGCUUUCUCAAUAUUUUUCAAUGAUCAUUUAUUCCUUUAGAAUGUUACAGUAUAGACAUUACUAUAUAGAGAAUAUUCCUUCUAAAAAGAAUAGCAAUCCACAAUGUGGCACUCAGCUCUAAACUCUUCCAGCUUUUAAAAUACUGAAUAUCAGGAUAACAAUAGUGAAACGAUUGUGUUCAAACAUAAAAUAUUCACAUUUACUGAGCAAACUGUAACCAGCAUGUCUCUUAGCUGUUGCUAUGAAUACAGGGCUCACAUUGUAUAUGAAAAUAUUUCAGUUUUAAUUGCAAAUCUGUGCAGAGAUGAUUUGGGGUCUGUAAUUAGCACAUAAAUUCCAGACUUUGUGACUGCUAUGAAAACACACAUUAUUUAUGGAACGAUUAACUAAACAUAAUUCAGUGUUUUUUGCUUUCAACAACUACUGUAUAAGUCUGAUUUAAUAAAAUGAGAAAAAAUUCCCUUCUCUUACA